GGAUGGCCCUGGACGAAGUGUGGGACAGCAGCCACUUCGCGCUCGAGCAGGGCCUCGAGGACGGCCCCGGCGCGAGCCUGGCACUGCGCAUCCUGGCGGCUCGGCUGCCGGAUUCCGGCGUCUACGUGUGCCACGCCCGCAACGCGCACGGCCACGCGCAGGCGGGGGCGCUGCUCCAGGUGCACCAGCCCCCCGAGAGCCCGCCCGCGGACCCCGACGAGGCCCCCGCGCCGGUGGUGGAGCCGCUCAAGUGCGCGCCUAAGACCUUCUGGGUGAACGAGGGCAAGCACGCCAAGUUCCGCUGCUACGUGAUGGGCAAGCCCGAGCCCGAGAUCGAAUGGCACUGGGAGGGCCGCCCGCUGCUCCCGGACCGCCGCCGCCUCAUGUACCGCGACCGCGACGGCGGCUUCGUGCUCAAGGUGCUCUACUGCCAGGCCAAGGACCGUGGGCUCUACGUCUGCGCCGCGCGCAACUCGGCGGGCCAGACGCUCAGUGCCGUGCAGCUGCACGUGAAAGAGCCCCGCCUCCGGUUCACACGGCCCCUGCAGGACGUGGAGGGCCGUGAGCACGGGAUUGCCGUGCUGGAGUGUAAAGUACCCAACUCCCGCAUCCCCACGGCCUGGUUCCGUGAGGACCAGCGGCUGCUGCCCUGCCGCAAGUACGAGCAGAUCGAAGAGGGCACUGUCCGGCGCCUCAUCAUCCACAGGCUGAAGGCAGACGAUGAUGGUAUCUACCUGUGCGAGAUGCGGGGCCGGGUGCGCACCGUGGCCAACGUCACAGUCAAAGGGCCCAUCCUGAAGCGCCUGCCCCGGAAGCUCGACGUCCUGGAAGGAGAGAAUGCUGUGCUGCUAGUGGAAACUCUAGAGGCUGGGGUCGAGGGACGCUGGAGCCGUGAUGGGGAGGAGCUGCCGGUCAUCUGCCAGAGCAGCUCAGGCCACAUGCAUGCCCUGGUCCUUCCAGGGGUCACCCGAGAGGAUGCUGGCGAGGUCACCUUUAGCCUGGGCAACUCCCGUACCACUACGCUUCUCAGAGUAAAAUGUGUCAAGCACAGUCCCCCAGGACCCCCCAUAUCGGCAGAGAUGUUCAAGGGCCACAAGAACACGGUCCUGUUGACCUGGAAGCCUCCCGAGCCAGCUCCCGAGACCCCAUUCAUCUACCGGCUGGAGCGGCAGGAAGUGGGCUCUGAAGACUGGAUUCAGUGCUUCAGCAUCGAGAAAGCCGGAGCCGUGGAGGUGCCGGGUGACUGUGUGCCCUCCGAGGGUGACUACCGCUUCCGCAUCUGCACAGUCAGCGGACAUGGCCGUAGUCCCCACGUGGUGUUCCACGGUUCUGCUCACCUUGUGCCCACAGCUCGCCUGGUGGCAGGUCUGGAGGAUGUGCAGGUAUACGACGGGGAAGAUGCCGUCUUCUCCCUCGAUCUCUCCACCAUCAUCCAGGGUACCUGGUUCCUUAAUGGGGAAGAGCUCAAGAGUAACGAGCCGGAGGGCCAGGUGGAACCUGGGGCCCUGCGGUACUGUAUGGAGCAGAAGGGUCUGCAGCACAGACUCAUCCUGCAUGCCGUCAAGCACCAGGACAGCGGUGCCCUGGUCGGCUUCAGCUGCCCUGGUGUGCAGGACUCAGCUGCCCUCACAAUCCAAGAGAGCCCGGUGCACAUCCUGAGCCCCCAGGACAAGGUGUCAUUGACCUUCACAACCUCAGAGCGGGUGGUGCUGACUUGUGAGCUCUCAAGGGUGGACUUCCCGGCAACCUGGUACAAGGAUGGGCAGAAGGUGGAGGACAGCGAGUUGCUGGUGGUGAAGAUGGAUGGGCGCAAACACCGUCUGAUCCUGCCUGAGGCCAAAGUCCAGGACAGUGGCGAGUUUGAGUGCAGGACAGAAGGGGUCUCGGCCUUCUUCGGCGUCACUGUCCAAGAUCCUCCCGUGCACAUCGUGGACCCCCGAGAACAUGUGUUCGUGCAUGCCAUAACUUCCGAGUGUGUCAUGCUGGCCUGUGAGGUGGACCGAGAGGACGCCCCUGUGCGUUGGUACAAGGACGGGCAGGAGGUGGAGGAGAGUGACUUCGUGGUGCUGGAGAAUGAGGGGCCCCAUCGCCGCCUGGUGCUGCCCGCCACCCAGCCCUCAGACGGGGGCGAGUUUCAGUGCGUCGCUGGAGAUGAGCGUGCCUACUUCACUGUCACCAUCACAGACGUCUCCUCGUGGAUCGUGUAUCCCAGCGGCAAGGUGUAUGUGGCAGCCGUGCGCCUGGAGCGUGUGGUGCUGACCUGUGAGCUAUGCCGGCCCUGGGCAGAGGUACGCUGGACCAAGGAUGGAGAGGAGGUGGUGGAGAGCCCCGCGCUGCUCCUGCAGAAGGAAGACACUGUCCGCCGCCUGGUGCUGCCCGCUGUCCAGCUCGAGGACUCCGGCGAGUACUUGUGUGAAAUUGACGAUGAGUCGGCCUCCUUCACUGUCACCGUCACAGAACCCCCAGUGCGGAUCAUAUACCCUCGCGAUGAGGUGACCUUGAUCGCCGUGACCUUGGAGUGUGUGGUGCUGAUGUGUGAACUGUCUCGGGAGGAUGCCCCUGUGCGCUGGUACAAGGAUGGGCUGGAAGUGGAGGAGAGCGAGGCCCUGGUGCUGGAGAGGGAUGGGCCACGCUGCCGCCUGGUGCUACCUGCUGCUCAGCCCGAGGACGGGGGCGAGUUUGUAUGCGAUGCUGGAGAUGACUCGGCCUUCUUCACUGUCACUGUCACAGAGCCCCCAGUGCAGUUCCUUGCUCCAGAGACAACUCCAAGCCCGCUCUGUGUGGCCCCCGGGGAGCCAGUGGUGCUGAGCUGUGAACUGUCCCGGGCUGGUGCCCCCGUGGUCUGGAGCCACAAUGGGAGGCCCGUGCAGGAGGGCGAGGGCCUAGAGCUCCAUGCCGAGGGCCCCCGCCGAGUCCUCUGCAUCCAGGCUGCAGGCCCAGCCCAUGCAGGGCUCUACACCUGCCAGUCUGGAGCAGCCCCUGGAGCCCCGAGCCUCAGCUUCACCGUCCAGGUGGCUGAGCCUCCUGUGCGGGUGGUAGCUCCCGAGGCAGCCCAGACGAGGGUUCGGAGCACUCCAGGCGGGGACCUAGAGCUGGUGGUGCACCUCUCCGGGCCAGGGGGCCCUGUACGCUGGUACAAGGACGGGGAGCGACUGGCAAGCCAGGGGCGGGUGCAGCUGGAGCAGGCCGGGGCCAGGCAGGUGCUGCGGGUGCAGGGGGCACGGAGCAGGGACGCUGGGGAGUACCUGUGCGACGCGCCCCAGGACAGCCGCAUCUUCCUUGUCAGCGUGGAAGAGCCACUGCCGGUGAAGCUGGUCUCGGAGCUGACACCACUCACUGUCCACGAGGGCGAUGAUGCCACGUUCCGGUGUGAAGUCUCCCCACCAGAUGCCGACGUCACCUGGCUGCGCAAUGGGGCGGUCGUCACUCCAGGGCCCCAGAGACAGAGCUGCUGUUCCUACGGCGGUUGCAGGAUGUGCGGGCAGAGGAAGGCCAGGACGUGUGUCUCGAAGUGGAGACAGGCCGAGUGGGUACAGCGGGGGCCGUGCGCUGGGUGCGAGGUGGGCAGCCCCUGCCCCACGACUCUCGCCUGUCCAUGGCCCAGGAUGGGCACAUCCACCGCCUCUUCAUCCAUGGUGUCAUACUGGCCGACCAGGGCACCUACGGCUGCGAGAGCCACCACGAUCGCACCCUGGCCAGGCUCAGCGUGAGGCGACGGGAGCGCGCUCACGCCUAGCCCGCGGCUCUGGCUCCAGGCCCUCGGCACGCGCCGCCUUCUCCAGCUGCGACGCUGCGGCCCCUCGGACGCCGGGACCUACAGCUGCGCGGUGGGGACGGCCCGCGCCAGACCGGUCCGCCUGACCGUGCGCGGUGGGUACGGGGUGAUGCGAAGGCUGGGCACUGCUUUGGGCGCGAGACUUGCGGAGCUGUCUUCCCCGGACCCUGCUGACCGCGCGUGCUUCUAGAAAAGGGGCGUGGAGGGGGCGUGACCGGUAACUGCCCUCUGCCCCGCCCCACUCACGCCCCGGGCUCCGCCCCAGAGCGUACUGUGGCGGUACUCUCCGAGCUGCGGUCGGUGAGCGCCCGCGAAGGCGACGGCGCUACGUUCGAGUGCACCGUGUCGGAGGUCGAGAUCACGGGGCGCUGGGAGCUCGGAGGCCGCCCGCUGAGACCCGGAGCCCGCGUCCGCAUCCGACAGGAAGGGAAGAAACACAUUCUGGUGCUUAGCGAGCUGCGCGCCGAGGACGCCGGUGAAGUCCGCUUCCAGGCGGGGCCCGCCCAGUCCCUGGCUCUACUGGAAGUGGAGGCAUUGCCUCUCCAGAUGUGCCGCCACCCCCCUCGCGAGAAGACCGUUCUGGUGGGCCGCCGGGCGGUGCUGGAGGUGACUGUGUCCCGCUCGGGGGGCCACGUGUGCUGGCUGCGGGAGGGGGCCGAGCUGUGCCCGGGAGAUAAGUAUGAGAUGCGCAGCCACGGCCCCACCCACAGCCUGGUCAUCCAUGACGUUCGACCUGAGGACCAAGGCACUUACUGCUGCCAGGCCGGCCAGGACAGCACCCACACACGGCUGCUGGUAGAGGGUGAGUAAAGCCAACUGGGCAGCGGCAGGAGGGUGAGGGCGCCUGGGAGCUGAUGGGUUAAGCCACACCUAUGGGAGGCUUUCCAGGACUUGGGGUGGCAACGGGUCCUGGGAUACGUAGGAGGUAGGGAUGGGGGAGGGGAGGGGUAGAGCACACCCAGGGCUGGAAAGCCCUGGAACUGCUUGGCUCAGAUCAGCUGCUCCUGGUCAGCUGUUCGCACCUUUCUACGCCCCUUCUUGCCAGGCUUCUCCUCUCUCCUGCCACUGGACCAUGUUUGUCUCUCUUGAACAGCCCUGUUUCUACCAGUUCCUUUCCUCCCCACUUCACCAACACUGCCUUCCUCCAGCCUGUCCCUCCUCCCUCCUGCCCUCUGCCCAGCUUGCCUCUGCCCAUCUCAGCAAGUUCCAUGUCAGCCUUGGCAGAAGCCUCUUUCUUUCCUCUUCCCCGUAAGAGACAUCCCACCUUCUAUCCCAAAUCCCAGCAUUCCCUUCAGGUGCUGCGCUGUGCCCCACCCCUAGCUGACCCCCACCUUCCUGCCGCCAAGACAGCCCUGACCAAGGCCCAGAAAGGGUAGGGCAGAGCCUGGGGGCCCAGCUCUUUGUGUACUGGUGUCCAGGCUCUGCCAGGGGAGAGGAAGGUGGUACCCCCUUCUCUCCCCAGCCCCAUGUGGAGUCAUUCCUCUGCAGGUAACUAGGAGGACCUAACCAGACCAGGCGGGUGCCCUUGGACAGCUUGGAAGGCGUUUGCCCUUACCGUGGGCAGGGGUAGAGAGACAAGGAACAAUAAAAGUGCUACAGCUC
rnacentral:sRNA from 1 species